CCUACGGGGGGCAGCAGUGGGGAAUUUUGCACAAUGGGCGCGAGCCUGACCCAGCCAAGUAGCGUGAAGGAUGACUGCCCUACGGGUUGUAAACUUCUUUUAUAAAGGAAUAAAGUGAGGCACGUGUGCCUUUUUGUAUGUACUUUAUGAAUAAGGAUCGGCUAACUCCGUGCCAGCAGCCGCGGUAAUAAGGAGGAUCCGAGCGUUAUCCGGAUUUAUUGGGUUUAAAGGGAGCGUAGAUGGGUUGUUAAGUCAGUUGUGAAAGUUUGCGGCUCAACCGUAAAAUUGCAAUUGAUACUGGCAGUCUUGAGUACAGGUGAGGGAGGCGGAAUUCGUGGUGUAGCGGUGAAAUGCUUAGAUAUCACGAAGAACUCCGAUUGCGAAGGCAGCUUACUAAACUGCCACUGACAUUGAUGCUCGAAAGUGUGGGUAUCAAACAGGAUUAGAUACCCUUGUAGUC
rnacentral:rRNA from 1 species